ensembl:snRNA U4 U4 spliceosomal RNA
AGCUUUGUGCGGUGGCAGUAUCGUAGUCAAUGAGGUUUAUCCGAGGCGCGAUUAUUGCUAAUUGAAAACUUUACUCAAAUAGUCUUUCUGAUCAGCCGUUUUUUUCUCCUCCUCUGCAUGUUGGUUGUAGGUCCCCAUCCUCCGCUGAUCCUAGACAGAUCUUGAAAGGAGUCUUGGCAACUUGAAGGUGUACAAG